rnacentral:rRNA from 1 species
GAUGAACGCUGGCGGCGUGCUUAACACAUGCAAGUCGAACGGAAAGGCCCAAGCUUGCUUGGUUUCUCGAGUGGCGAACGGGUGAGUAACACGUGUGGGAACUGCCCUUCACUUUGGGAUAAGCCUGCGAGACUGGGUCUAAUACCGGAUAGGAUCAUCUUCUAGUCUCGGUGGUGGAAAGAUUUUCGGUGUUGGAUGAGCUCGUGGCCGAUCCGCUUGUUGGUGCGGUAAUGGCUUACCAAAGCGUCGACGGGGACCCGGCCUGAGAGGGUGUACGGCCACCUUGGGACUGAGAGACGGCCCCGGCUCCUACGGGACGCAGCAGUGGGGAAUCUUGCACAAUGGGCGCCAGCCUGGUGCAGCGACGCUGCGUGGCGGAUGACUGUCUUCGGGUUGUAAACUACUUUCGCAAAGGACGGAGCGUUUUGUGACGGUACUUGGACAAGAAGCCCCGGCUAACUACGUG